AGCUCCAAUAGCGUAUAUUAAAGUUGUUGCAGUUAAAAAGCUCGUAGUCCGAUUUCGGACAUAGCCGAACGGUUUGGCGCAAGUCAGUACUGUUUGGCUGUGUCUUCCUCGUGAAGGCUGCGUGUGCUCUUAGUUGAGUGUGCGUAGGAUUCGCGACGUUUACUUUGAAAAAAUUAGAGUGUUCAAAGCAGGCAUACGCUUGAAUACAUUAGCAUGGAAUAAUGGAAUAGGAUCUCGGUUCUAUUUUGUUGGUUUUUAGGACCUUGAUAAUGAUUAAUAGGGACAGUUGGGGGCAUUAAUAUUUAAUUGUCAGAGGUGAAAUUCUUGGAUUUAUGAAAGAUUAACUUCUGCGAAAGCAUUUGCCAAGGAUGUUUUCAUUG
rnacentral:rRNA from 1 species